GCACUGCUGAGGCGUCCCAUAAUAGGACGAAACGGUCGUUCAGUGU
rfam:Schistosoma margrebowiei strain Zambia genome assembly, scaffold: SMRZ_scaffold0001896